GACGAACGCUGGCGGCGUGCCUAAUACAUGCAAGUCGAGCGAAGUUUUUCUGGUGCUUGCACCGGAAAAACUUAGCGGCGAACGGGUGAGUAACACGUAAAGAACCUGCCUCAUAGACUGGGACAACUAUUGGAAACGAUAGCUAAUACCGGAUAACAGCAUUAACUGCAUGGUUGAUGUUUAAAAGUUGGUUUUGCUAACACUAUGAGAUGGCUUUGCGGUGCAUUAGCUAUUUGGUGGGGUAAAGGCCUACCAAGGCGACGAUGCAUAGCCGACCUGAGAGGGUGAUCGGCCACACUGGGACUGAGACACGGCCCAGACUCCUACGGGAGGCAGCAGUAGGGAAUCUUCCGCAAUGGGCGAAAGCCUGACGGAGCAACGCCGCGUGAGUGAAGAAGGAUUUCGGUUCGUAAAGCUCUGUUGUUAGGGAAGAAUGAUUGUGUAGUAACUAUACACAGUAGAGACGGUACCUAACCAGAAAGCCACGGCUAACUACGUG
rnacentral:rRNA from 1 species